GCUGUGAUGGCCGAGAGGUAAGGCGUUGGAUUUGAAAUCCAAUCCCCGCGCAGGUUCGAACCCUGCUCACAGCG